AUGCCACCAUGGGAGCGCUUCCGGGAACUCUGUCUCCUCCGGUUCGGGCCUCCUAUCCGCGGGAGCCGACUGGCGGCCCUCGGCCGCUUACCCUUCACAUCCACGGUGCAGGACUAUGCCGACCGCUUCCAGGCCCUGGCGUGCCACGCGCCGGGCGUCUCCGCAACUCAGCGCGCCGAGUUAUUUGUGGGCGGUCUACCGGACCAUAUCCGCGUGGACGUGGAGCUUCGGGGACCCCAGGAUCUCCAGUCGGCCAUGUAUUACGCCCGCGCAUUCGAGCGCCGCGCGGUGGCCAUCCAGCAGGAAUCACCGUCCCAGACUGCUGGGUCGCUACCCGGACCGGAUUCCGCGCAGGGUCGGCCUGUGCAGGCUUCUGCGGCACCCCUCGCCGCGACCGCGGGGCGCCCGUUCCGCCGGCUCACUCCAGCUGAGAUACUCGAGCGUCGCCGCCAAGGGUUGUGCUUCAACUGCGACGAACCCUACAAGCCCGGCCACGCCUGCCCGCGACUCUUCUACCUAGAGGUGGCAGACUACAUUCUGGAGGACGCCGUCGCCGCCGACCUGGCCGCCCCAGAUGUCGAGAAGAUGUUUGACGCUGGUUGA
rnacentral:rRNA from 1 species